AACACAGCAGCAGAGCAGCGGGGCAUUAGCGGCUAGCGGCCAACAACCGGGAGCGGAUCCGCGCCAAAACAACCGACAGCUAUUAAACACCAGCGACGGCACAGGCGGCAAACGCCUCUUACCUGUGCCAGGUGAAGCAGCGGUCACCUGGGCUGUCUCCCGCCGGACAAUGAACAGACGGUGUUGGGUCCAGUAAACUCCCACGGCGGGGUCGGAUGGGCACCUUCAGGGGAGACAGGUUUUCCUGCUACUGCAUCUUCUCCGGUUUCAACCUGACAGAUUGCAGUUUUGAACUUCUAUUACUGCAGCCUCACCGAGCCUGGAGGCUGCACCUGGGCGCUGAAAUCGGCUUCAACUUGCUAAACUUGUCCCAGAAAAGGGCUGGUAAAGCUGACGAGAAGAUGUUUCCAUCACAAUAGGGAGCAAGUGAAAUAAAGAUGG